UCUCACUCUCGGCGCGGAUCUGGGCGAACUCCUCCACCAGCACCGCAUGCCUCUCCUUCAGCUCCUCCAGCUGCAGCUUCUCCUCCUUGUGGAUGCUCUCCAGGUCCUCGUAUUCAUCCUAGGCGAGAGGCAGGACUGGGGGCGCAGCACCUAGCAUGGCCUCCCUGCUCCCCGGCUUCCGCCCCAGCCAAGUAGGAUGCAGAGCCUGUCUGUACCUGGGCUCACUCCAGGGAGGACCCAACUGAACGGAUCUCGGAAUGGAGGGAGGAACAAGGGUUGUGAGUUGUGCAAACCUAGGUGUAAGUGCACAUGUGAAUGCAUGUGGUGCACGUGUGUGUAUGUGUGUGUGUGUGUAUGUGUAUUAUAGGCUAAAGGUCAACGUCUGGCAUCCUCCUCAAUCUCUCGACUUAAUUUUUUUUUUUUCGAGACAGGGUUUCUCUGUGUAGUUUUGCGCCUUUCCUGGAACUCGCUUUGUAGACCAGGCUGGCCUCGAACUCACAAAGAUCCGCCUGCCUCUGCCUCCCGAGUGCUGGGAUUAAAGGUGUGCGCCACCACCGCCCGGCGUCGACCUAAUUUUUUGAGGUAGGCUCUUUUACUGAACCUGGAGCUUGCUGGUGUCACUGGGCUGGCAAAUUCCCAGGGUCUGCCUCCCAGCACUGAGAUUACAACUGCACACUUCGGCGUUCAGCUUCUCGCAUGGGGGCUGGGGAUGCGAACUUGGGUCCUGUGUUUGCCUGGCAAGCAGCCUACUAACUGAGCCAGCUCCCCAGUCCCUGGCCCCAGCUUUGAAAUGUAGCUUCUCUGCGCCUUUAGGAGAUUCCCUUUUAAGCUUCUGGUUUUCCAGACAAUUCCAAGUACCCGGGCCAGUUUCUGGGAUCACGUGACCUUCCAGCUUCAGUAUGAAAGGCCCCUCAGAGACACAAGGGUUGGAGUCCUGGUACCCCGCUAGGUGGCGCUGGUGAGUGGUGACUGAACCAUGAAAGCUCAUCGCUGGACAGGAGGAAGGGGCCUUCCGGGAGGAAGUAGUUCACUGGGGAGUGGACCCUUGAAAGGCCCAGGGAAACUGAAGCGUGAGUCUGGAACACCAUGAAUGCCAUCUCCAUGUUCAGCCUGCCGACAGGCUCCGAGGUUCGCACACAGACCUGCUCAUUUGGCCACCAUCUCUCCUUUCUCCGAAGAAGUGCCCGCCAACAGAGCAGGGGCUCGUUGGGCUCUGCCAUGAUGUGAUGCACUGUCCGGCCACAGCGUCCAAAACAGAGGAGCCACCAGCCAUAGACCAGACGAGCCUCAUAAGUCAUUCACCUCAGGGACUUUGUCAUGGAAGGCUCAGCUGAUCAAAUAUUCAAUCAGAGAGCCUCUUAGGUGAUCGAACAGCAUAGGAGCUGAUGAUGACGGUCACAGGGACCCAGAUAAAGAUGGUGAAGGAGAAAGAGCCAUGCAAAGCCACAGAAGACUAUCUUUAGUUCAACAAACCGCAGACAGCGAGGCAAUUGGAGUGAGUUCCCCAGGGGCCUUUUCCUGACUCUAGAGUGUUCUGGGCAACUGUGGAGCCUCUCCCUGGCCCCUCUGAGGAUGAAGGGUCCCUGCCCCGAGGCCACAGGAUGAAGGAAGGAAGUGCUGGAUGGACACACGUUUCCACGCCAUCCUCAGCGUUCUCUAGGCAUCAAUCAAGAUUCCCAGGAUUCUUGGGAGACGAAGGCUGGAAACUCAGAGCCACGGGGAAUGUUUCCAAUUUGCUUUCAGCCAAAUUGCCUCUUUUGCUUUAAAGGGCAAGCUUGUUUUCUUUGAUUACCAGGAUGCCCUUCAGUUCUUGACAGCUCAUUUGGGUGAACAGGGGAAGGGGAAGGUGUGGGGAGAGGGGUGAAUGAUGACGCCAGCGAAAACUACCCGAGAAUCUUUUUCCUUGAAUUCUAAUGAGUGUUCCAUGUCCUUUCUGAUGCCACCAACCUUCAUAUUGAAAUUGUUGUCAACCCAGCCCUCCCCUUUUAAAGCUUCCUGCCCUGAGAGUCAAGCAGGGCUGCAGAUACACCAGGUUUUAAUUGCCAUGAAUUCUAUUGAUUUAUCUUUAUCAUGCAAAUAGGCCUGUUGGAUAUUUAUUACUCCGUUCCUGUCUUGGAAAAAAAUGAUUUGAACUAAAGGAUCCCCACCCCCCACGCACACACUUGGAAAGAAGACGAAAGAAACCCGUGACUAUUUCACAGACCCAGUACUGGCUGUGGGAGGCCGGGGUAGGGAGAAGGGUGUCUUGGCUUAAGGACCUUUUUUGUAAUACUGGCCAAUGUUAGAAGUUACCUAUGUGCCCAACUGUCCUAAAUGUACCUGUGACCGCAGCACUCUGGAGGUGGGGGCAGGAGAAUCACAAAUUCAUGACUAUCCUUGGCUUCACAGUGAGUUGAAGGCCAUCCUGGGCUACAUAGGGAGACUCUGUCUCAAGCAAAAUUACAAAACAAAACAAAAAAAAAAAAACAAAACAAAACAAGAAGUACUUUCUAUUGAUGAGUUCCUUUGGUCCUGAGAGCCCUGCAAGGUCAUCUUUUUUCCUCCAUUUCACAGACAAGAAAAGGGAGCUGAGAGCAGUAAAGAAGUCCAGUCAGUCAUGAGAAGAGCAGUAAAGGAGUCCAGUCAGUCAUGAGAAGAGCAGUAAAGGAGUCCAGUCAGUCAUGAGAAGAGCAGUAAAGGAGUCCAGUCAGUCAUGAGAAGAGCAGUAAAGGAGUCCAGUCAGUCAUGAGAAGAGCAGUAAAGGAGUCCAGUCAGUCAUGAGAAGAGCAGUAAAGGAGUCCAGUCAGUCAUGAGAAGAGCAGUAAAGGAGUCCAGUCAGUCAUGAGGAAAUCUUCCACCCAUAGUUGGUGUGUUAGUUCAGUGGGUAAAGAUGCUUGCUUGCCUCCAAAACUGAGAACCUGAGUUUGAUCCCCAGAACCUAUGCUGUAAGGAGAAAACCUACUCUCGAGAGCUGUCCUUGAUCUCCACACAUGUGCAGUGGUAUGACAGCACUCACACACAUGCAUCAUGCACAAAAUAAUAAUAAUAACAAUAAGUAGUAGUAGUAGUAGAAGGAAAACUUUUAUCCUAAGCAACUAUCACAUAGUAGAUGCUCAGUGAACACAUAGGUGUUGGUAAAUGAGGAGACGGUGGCCCUGCCUUCCCAUCAUUUCCUGCAGGAUGAUGCAGAUGCAGUACUGAGUUCACAAGUCAGAUCAUGUCCUCACUUAGAGACAGACAACAAGGUCAUCUGGGCUUGUUUCUUGUUUACUAGACAGGAUCUCACUAUGUUGCCCAGUCUGGCCUUGACCAAGUGAUGCUCUGCCUCAGCCUCCCAAGUAGCUGGAAACUGCAUCUUGUCGAUUUUAUUUGGUUCUGAAGACCCCUGGGGUGGGCUGUGGCAAUGGAGCUGGAGGUAGACCCGCCAAUAGACAGGAUCUUGGCUGUGGCCAGAGGCUUCGGUGCUUCAGAGACAGGGCAGUGGCCAGUCACAACUGGGGAUAGAUGUUCACAUUGCUGCUUGCAGUGGCCAACCUUCUGCAACUUGGGACAGACCUUGGCAUGGUCACCUGACCUUCUACAGGUUCCAAAGUGAACAGGGAAGCCAGGGGCUCACUGUGUGGUAACUGAGUUCAUUUGGAGCCCAGUCCCUGUGGCUCCCAACCAGUCAUAUGGGUUUGGAUGACCACCCUCUCUAAGCUUUGGCUGCCUCUACCGUAAAAUGGGGACAGACAGGGGACUUUACAGAACUCUUGAGUGAACGUAAUACUGCCAAACAUGUCCAGCUUUUAUGACUUUUAUUACUAACACUAAAAUGACAAGCAAGAGCUGUAAAGGUGGCUCAGUGGUUAAGAGCACCUGUUACUCUUGCAGGACCAGGGUUGGUUCUCAGCACUCAUAUGAAGGCUCAUAGCUGCUAUUUAUAGUUCUCCUUCCAAGGGAUCCAGUGCCCUCUUCUGGCCUCUGGUAGUACUGCACACAUGAUGCACAUCCAUCCAUCCAGGCAAAACAUUCAUAUACAUGAAAUUAAAAAAAAAAAAAUCUAAAAGAGGGGGCUGGAGAGAUGGCACAGAGGCUAAGAGCACUAACUGCCCUUCCAGAGGACCCGGGUUCAAUUCCCAGCACCCACAUGGCAGCUCACAACUGUCUGUAAUUCCAGUUCCAGAGGAUCUGAUACCCUCAUACAGACAUACAUUAAAUAAAUAAAUCUUUUAAAAAAAAUCUAAAAGAAAGAAAGGAACCCUAAAGUAUGACUAUGGCACAUCAUUCUGCAGACUGAACAGAGGCAGGAGAAUGCUAGGGGUGUUAAGUCCCAGGUUCAGAGAAACCCCCCGCCUCCUAGGAACAAUCAAAGAGUUCCAAAGGACACUGAAUCCCUUCUGGGUUCCACAUCAGAUGGUUUGAACUCCUUUCUUGGUCACGAUAUGCUUUAGAAAUGUGCAUUUCUAGUCACACAUGACUGUACGAUAGAUUAUUUUGGUGUUUCAAAAAGAAUGAAGGGCUAGGAGUGGUGCAUCUGUUUAGCAUGUGUGAGGUUCUGGGUUCUAUCACAGCACUAAUACACACACACACACACACACACACACACACACACACACGUGUACACACAUAUACACAAACUAAGUAAAUGAAAUAGAAUUUAAAAUAGAGACCAGAAGCUGGGGUAGGGUGGGAUGUGGUGGCGCAUGCCUUUAAUCCUAGCACUUGGGAGGCAGAGGCAGGUGAAUCUCCAAGUUUGAGGCCAGCCUGGUCUACAGAGUGAGUUCCAGGACAGCCAGGACUGUUACUAGAGAAACCCUGUCUCAGGAAAACAAAACAAAACAAAACCUUCUUCAUCUUUAGAAAAUAUCAAUUACCGGAGUGUAGAAUAUCAAUAUUAUCAACAAAUGUAGGAAGCACAGAAUUUGUGUUUGCCUGGAGUUUUGGCGCUGGAGAUUAGACUUUUUUUUUGGUUUUUCGAGACAGGGUUUCUCUGUGUAGUUUUGCUGCCUGUCCUGGAACUUGCUCUGUAGACCAGGCUGGCCUCGAACUCACGGAGAUCGCCUGGUUCUGCCUCCCGAGUGCUGGAACUAAAGGUGUGCGCCACCACCGCUUGGCUGGAGAUUAAAUUUAAGGUUAAAAAAAAAAACUCAGAACAAAACAAACAAGGAAAAAACUUAAGGCCACACAUGUUCAGCACACCCAGUGCCGCCCAACUGCAUUUAAAAAUAAUUUAUUUAUUUUUAUUUUUAGUUUAUUGGUGUUUUGCCUGCACGUAUGUCUGUAUGAGGGUGUUGGAUCCCCUGGAACAGGAGUUACAGACAGUUACGAGCUGCCAUAGGGUUGCUGGGAAUUGAACUGGGGUCCUCUGGAAGAGUAGCCAGUGCUCUUAACCACUGAGCCAUCUCUCCAGCCUGAGCCUGCAUUAUUCUUUUAUAAUUAAACCUGUGCUGAGAAAUUUUAGAGGGAAAAUGCAUUUCUUUGUCAAUUAAAAGAAAAAAGUCACCUGCAUUUGAAAGCAUUAGGUUUAAAAUAUUUUC